UUGUAUUUUACUAUUAGGUUGGUUUUGUAACGUCAUUGGAGGUUUAAGUGUCAUGUCAGUGACUCUGUGAUGUGAUUGGCUGGUGGGAGGGAGCAACGUGAACCCAAGCGCGCGGGGUUCUAAAGUUGUACGAAAAAUAUAUUAAACCCAUACGGUUUAGACUAGAGUCAUAAAUCGACAUAACAUAACUAUUACUACAAUAGACUAGAAUAGACUGUUGUACUGCGAGAAGCUUUAUUGAUGAGCCUUAAUUUUAAAUAUUACAACCGACGUUUUGGGGUUAGCAUCACGGGCUAACUAGCUAGUUGGCUAGCCACCACAUAUGAGCAUUGUCCAGGCUGCAACAGGCUGCUCGUACUGUCAGUGAAGCAGGCCUCUGGCUCCACCGGCUCCGGCUCCUCUUCUUCCACUUCCACUUCAGGCUCAGGCAUCGUGAUCUACGUUGUCAUUAUCCUCAUCGUCCUCGCCCAGGUAUUCAAAGUCUGAUUCUCCCUGGGCGAUCGGCACAGUGAGACUCUGCUCGCCGUCCACUAUAAACCCAGAAGGCCGGCCUUCAACCAAACAAUUGGGCUCGGUGUCACCCCUGGGCCCUUCUUCGGGCUCCUCGGACUUUCUGCCAGGAGAUCGCGUGGCCGUCCGGACGGCGAACGCUUUCAACCAGUUGAUGCCCCGUGUGAUUCUGCCGAUGGCAAUCUGGAGGUUGUUCAUCUCUCCGUCAUCAUCUCCUGCUGAGAGGUUGUCUCCACUGAAGGAGUUGAGCAGCAAGGCCAGGAAGAGGUUCAACACCUAGGAUGAGAAACAUUAAAAGCUGAGUUUUUAAAUAUUUUUCCAGUAUUAAUAAGAAUUUACAAUUUAGGCCACGCGAGUAGCUGUUGAUCACUGACUCAAACUGUGUAGACACUGAACUCCAGUAAAACACAAAAGCCAUCACAUAUCAAAUUGUUCGUCUCAUGGUACUUAUAUUAUAGCGUGUGCCUCCUGCUGCAGACGUGGCUAUUUUUAGUUUCUUAAACCUACUCGUCUAUUUCCCAGGUUUAGCAGGAGAUCAUGGUUACACAGGCAGGUUGUCUCGGUCCAUGUCUCGGCUGUGAGUAAGAAAAGAGGAGUGAUUUUAUGUAGGCUUGUCCUUCAUAUGAGGGACUCAUUGUUGCACAGUGAUUGCAUAUAAUGGGAGCCCUAUAAUCAUGGUGUGAGUGUGAGUGGGCCAGGCAAGCUUUUCAUCACGUACAGGUCAAUCAGCUACUGAAUGAUUUUCCUUUAACACCCAGUCCAGCUGCCACCUGAGCUCUGCUGGAUCAGCUGUCCGUGUUCGUUCCCACAGUGGCAGCAAGCUUACAUGAGCUGGAUCUUAGCACAUACUCAAGGUCAAAACUACUAUUUGGUGGCUCAAGUUAUCUGAUUUAAAUAGAAUUCUCCCUCUCGUGAAGAGUGUGAGCGUAUUAUUUACCUUUAUGUUGUUGCAAGCAGUGUGCAUUUAAAUGCGAGGUGAGAGAGGGGUGGAGUGCUGUUGGAAGGCUGCGGGAGGAGUGUGACAAAUGAAAAAAGCUGUGAUAAUUCUGGCACAGCGUGAGCUGGGAGUCUGAUACAUUUGUCAGCACUUAGCUAAGUCAUUUCCUUUUCAUUUCUAUGAAUAACCUGAAGGGGAAAUGGCUUUGGCUCUAGAUACUAAAUAUGAUGGAGUGAUCAUUCAUCAGUAUUCAUCAGCUGGUUUUUUUCUGUUGGAUCAAUGUAAAAGAUGACCCUGUGUUCAGCUGAAUACUGUGUUCUGGCCUUGCUCGAGAUAAAUCACUGAGAUGCCUCAGCAAAGGCAUCUCAGUGUGGAUUAACAAUAAACCUCAACACAAGCAGACCUCAAGUUCUCAUGGCAUUAGAACAGGAUAACUGAGAUUUAGAACAAUUUAGCAAAACACUUUGUCAGCUUUACAGCUUCUCGGUGGUGACGGUGGUUCAGAGGUCAGUGAGCUCAGAAAUAACCGUCCAUUUAUGAUGCAUGGUGAGUGCGUCUGAACACAAUCACAUCUGUCAUCAUAUCACAGCAUAUCAGCAUUGAAUUGAUGCAUUUUGCCCUCACCACUAGAUUUCCAAUGACCAUGACCAUCAUGAAGACGACUAAACACAUCCCGGCUCCUGCCACCUCCAUGCAGUCCCACAUGGUCUCGAUCCACUCCCCGCACAGGAUGCGGAACACGAUCAGGAAGGAGUGGAAGAAGUCGUUCAUGUGCCAGCGGGGAAGCUCACAGUCCAGGGCGAUUUUGCACACACAGUCCUUGUAGCUUUUCCCAAAGAGCUGCAUGCCCACCACAGCAAAGAUGAAGACGAUGAUGGCCAGCACCAAGGUCAAGUUCCCUAAAGCUCCUACUGAGUUCCCGAUGAUUUUGAUCAACAUAUUGAGAGUGGGCCAGGACUUGGCCAGUUUGAAGACACGCAGCUAUUUCAACACACAAACACAGACAAUGAUAUGCAUGGGGAGUAAUGUUUAAUGUAGCUCUGGUAAAUGGAUCGAAACAAAUAGUUUCUCACCAGACGAAAGGACCUGAGAACAGACAGGCCCUGAACAUUUGCCAGCCCCAACUCCACCAGACUCAGAGUCACAAUGAUGCUGUCAAAAAUGUUCCAGCCAACCUGAAAGUAAUAGUAGGGAUCCAUGGCGAUGAGCUUGAAGAACAUUUCUGCUGUGAAGAUCCCAGUGAAAACCUAAACAGGUUCCCCACUGAGAGCAUAUAGUCGAACUCCGGGGUCAUGGGGUAGUGCUCCAUGGCCAUGAAGAGGGUGUUGAGCACAAUGCAGAUGGUGAUGGCCAAGUCAACGAAAGGGUCCAUCACUACAAAGUGCACCCACUUUUUAAAAACCACCCAGGGUGUGCAGCAGUCCCACUUCAGGAAGAGGUCGGCAAACUUGUACCAACCAGAUUGCUAUCGGGAUUUGCGUACCUCAACCAGGGUUGGCGCUCUGACGAUGAGACGAGGAACAACUCUCCCAUUACAGUCCUUGAUGUCUUGAUCAUUUUCAUUAUCAUCAUCUGCUAAAUCGGACGCUGUCUGAUGACUGAGCGACUUCUUACUGGUUAAAGUUGCUCGACUUCCAAGAAUCUGAGCCUUUCAGAAGGGGUCCAGGUCCUCCAGAGGUGUGUUGAGCAGCUCCGGUGGAGGGUCUCCGUAGAUCAUGGGCAGGUUCUUACCCGCCUCCAGAUCAGCGUUGGGGGAUGCCGGCUCUUCUCCCUCAUGGGCCUCUACUUCUGCUG